rnacentral:rRNA from 1 species
AGUGAACGCUAGCGGCAGGCUUAAUACAUGCAAGUCAAGGGGUAGCAAUACACCGGCGUACGGGUGCGUAACGCGUAUGGAACCUGCCCUUAUCUGGGGGAUAACUCGGGGAAACUCGAGCUAAUACCGCAUAAGAUAGUAAAGAGGCAUCUCGUAGCUAUUAAAGAUUUAUCGGUUAAGGAUGGCCAUGCGUAAGAUUAGAUAGUUGGCGAGGUAACGGCUAACCAAGUCUACGAUCGUUAGGGGCUCUGAGAGGAGAAUCCCCCACACUGGCACUGAGAUACGGGCCAGACUCCUACGGGAGGCAGCAGUAGGGAAUAUUGGGCAAUGGGCGGAAGCCUGACCCAGCCACGCCGCGUGCAGGAAGACGGCCCUCUGGGUUGUAAGCUGCUUUUAACUGGGAAGAAAGCAGCUCAUGCGUGAGAAUUUGACGGUACCUGUUGAAUAAGCCACGGCUAACUACGUGCCAGCCGCCGCGGUAAGAC